rnacentral:lncRNA from 1 species
CAAAGUUCCAACUGUGCACACAGUCAUAUGCUUGCGGUGUCUAUAAUAGGCCAAGGUAAUUGGAAGGACAUAGAAUAUAGGAAAUCAUACUUCUUCUCUGGAACUGGCUUUAACGAACGGGAUUCACAUCCUCUCUGCUGGCUUCCUGCUUACAGCUCAGACUUCAGCCCUCAGCUCCUACUUUGGGAAAUGGCUUCUACAAGCACCUCAUUCAAGUUGAGAUAAUCGCAGGACUCUUGAGUGUUAAUCCUAACUUGGUCUUCAUGCCAGGAGAGCAAGCACCCCGGGUCCAGCCUACUAGCAAACACAAAGCAGCAGCUGUAGUGCACUCCACUCGGCAGACACCACACACGAAUCAGCAAGAGCAGUUCAAUCCAGAAGAAACUGCGAGGCUCACCAACUGGUCCAAGUCCUCAGAAGUGGCAAGAAGCUGCAGGAAUCUCACAAGAAGUUCUUUGGCAAGUUUCUGUCUAUGAAGUUGCCACAAGUGAAGCUCAAGGAUGCAGUGUAAGGUGAGCGAAUACAUGUGUGAAGUCAGAAAAGACUGGCAAGGUGGAGCAAAGCGAACCAACCCUUGAGCUCCCACUGUCUGUGUUAUAUUCCUUCUCAGAAUCACAUGUCCUUUCACAUGUCUGCUAUAGCAAAAUAUCCUUUCACCUGUGUCUGCUUCAGCAAAACAUUUUUUAUCAGCCUGCUUUAGCAAAACAUCAUUGUAACCGAGUCUCCAAAGAAACCAGAAAUUUCCACCUUAUUCUUCCUUCCAGCCUUGAGAACCUUGUGACCUCCCACCGUGGUGGCACUCCAGCUGUCUGUCACUGGUGAGCUCUUAGGGCAUGUCUGUGGUUUCUUUAGUAGACGUGAUGUCAAGAGAAGUGUUUUCACCUGAAUCACACUCCAGUCCUAGCUAGUAAGCCAGAAGAAGUAGAAAAGGCUUUUUUAAAAUGCUGAGUCUGAAGCAGCGUAGCAACACCUUGCAGCUCUAGAGUAGCAGCAGCUGAGGAAGAGAGCAGUGGCCAUCUUGAUCCCACUCUCCUCUCCCCUUUGGAGAGUGCAUCCUUGGUCGCUCCAGCCAGGCCAGAGCCCCUGCAAAUCUCUGUGGAUAGCUUAGCGGAUAGCAUCUGGCAGACAGACCAGCAAUGCUUCCUUCAGCUUUAUCACUAUUUGUUUUGGUUAAUUUUUCAUCAUCCCAUCUAGACUUUGAACCAAGGUUUUGGGCAAAUACCUGCCUUUAACCUCAGUAGACUUUAGAAAAUAGAUCAGUUCCCAUAACCUGUGUGGGUCUCAUCCAAUCAGCUGAAGAUCAUAGGAA